GGGGUUUGUUACAUGGGCCGGGCCAUCACAUAUAGUCUGGCUGACAUUCUGAGAUGAUGAUGCAAGGAACAAUCACAGUGGUAUUGAUAAAGCUGAAGAACAUUCACAGCAACAAACAAAUCAUGAAUCGAGAAAAAAUAUUCCUUGCUCAUCAAGCAUAUCCAUAGGCAAAUAUUGUAGCUUACAGGCCUGUAUCGAUAAAUUGACACGGUUAUAAGGAAACAAG
rnacentral:lncRNA from 1 species